UCUCUGCUCCUUCUUCCUCUUCCUUUUCUUCUUUCUCUUUCGUUUUGUUUUUAAGGCAGUUUCCCUGGGGUCAGGGUUUCAGUCCGUCAUGGGAAACUCCGGUCCAAGAAUUCGGGAGGGCGGGCUCUGGUCGAAUAAUGUCAGCUACAAAACAAUAUAAACCCCCCCCUCUCUCAACGCCUACCAAAAGGACAAGUGAACAGCCACCCUUCCCAGAUACUGGACAGCUACAUCCAAGGAUAUAACAUCUAUUGACAGAGCUUGCGAUUCAAUCCUGGCCUUCUCUACUGCAAUCUUAACAUCAAAUUCUCGAAUCUCCACACCUAGUCCCUUACCUUUUCAAUUUUUGUUUUGGCAAUCAAUGACUUUUUCAGGGUUUGAUGCAUGAUUAAUGGCACUUGCUAAACAUCUCCGUUAACAUUUUGUUUGUCUCCACCUCAUAUGACCACCCACCAGCCCACCCACUCCAGGGAACCUGACCACCGCCACAAGGACCACACCUGGAUCAAUCCUUUCAGCCAGCUCCCCAAUACAGUCAUCUACGUCUACGGAUGCACCUACCGAGGCCAAACAAAAAGGAAAAAAUGAUCAAUAAGAACCUUUCGAAACUGACUACUUACAGAGCAUGUUUUGUCUCGCAUUCUAUUUCAGUAUGCACUAAAUACUCUUGGUAACAGGACAAGUAGGAUGCUUCUUUGGUUGAGCAUAAAAAAAAAUGUUAAGUUACUGGAAAGAGACCACUUUUCUUUCUUCCCAACAAGUUAGCAGAAGUCAUGCAUGUUACAACUAGAAUGAUAUUCCUCAUCCAAGCAGCAUGUGGUCUGUGGUGGAGCAUGGCCACGAAGAAGGUGCGACAAAAACAUAGGCCGACAAGUCUCUGACAGCCAAGAAGGGGAGAUUGCCUGCACCCUCAAAAGAUGAGCAUCACUGAAGACGCAUAACUGCCGCACUAUCCACCAGGCUCGCAUUUUGCUACUACAUAUGGAGGCUGCCAUAACUUUUUGGAUGCCUACGGACUGCACCUGCUGGAAAUGCUUGAUUGCGUCAGUGAAAUUAUGAAGCAAGCAAGACAAUCAAAUGUUCCAAUUGUCAUAAUUUCAUUGAAAUGAUCAGACAAAUUUAAAAAAUAGCAGCAAUUAUCAGCUUGUUGGGAUGUGGGGUUGGAGGACUGGAGAUUCAGUAGUGAUCAAGAUUCAAAUUGUUGUUUGCCUUUACAAUUCUAAGUUUUAGAUGUGUUAGGGGCGUGUCACAUGUUACCAUGCUUAUGUUAUAAUGCUCUCAUUGCAGUUGAAUAAUUGAUCUUAAGAUCGUUAAUGAGUUCUAAUUAAAAGGGCUUCUUGCUCUUGAGGAAAUGCUUAAAUAUUAAUGUACACUGAUUGAAAUCAACUUAUUACUUCAUGUCAAAGAA